UGGGGAAUUUUGGGCAAUGGGCGAAAGCCUGACCCAGCAACGCCGCGUGAAGGAUGAAGUAUUUCGGUAUGUAAACUUCGAAAGAAUAGGAAGAAUAAAUGACGGUACUAUUUAUAAGGUCCGGCUAACUACGUGCCAGCAGCCGCGGUAAUACGUAGGGACCAAGCGUUGUUCGGAUUUACUGGGCGUAAAGCGCGCGUAGGUGGUUUGUUAAGUUGGAUGUGAAAGCCCCGGGCUCAACCUGGGAACUGCAUCCAAAACUGGCAAGCUAGAGUACGGUAGAGGGUGGUGGAAUUUCAGGUGUAGCGGUGAAAUGCGUAGAUAUCUGAAGGAACACCAGUGGCGAAGGCGGCUUCCUGGACCAAUACUGACACUGAGACGCGAAAGCGUGGGGAGCAAACAGGAUUAGAUACCCCCGUAGUCCCUGAGCGGGCUGGCAAGGCGCAU
rnacentral:rRNA from 1 species